GAUGAACGCUAGCGGCAGGCCUAACACAUGCAAGUCGAGGGGUAACUAGAGUGAUAGCAAUAUUACUUUGGCUAGACCGGCGCACGGGUGCGUAACACGUAUGCAACCUACCUUAUACUGGGGAAUAACUUCGAGAAAUCGGCGCUAAUACCCCAUAACAUUGCGAAGAGGCAUCUCUUUGCAAUUAAAGCUCCGGCGGUAUAAGAUGGGCAUGCGUCCAAUUAGCUAGUUGGUGAGGUAACGGCUCACCAAGGCUACGAUUGGUAGGGGUUCUGGGAGGAUGGUCCCCCACACUGGUACUGAGACACGGACCAGACUCCUACGGGAGGCAGCAGUGAGGAAUAUUGCGCAAUGGACGAAAGUCUGACGCAGCCAUGCCGCGUGCAGGAUGACGGCCCUAUGGGUUGUAAACUGCUUUUGUACGGGAAUGAACCCUUCUACGUGUAGGAGGCUGAAGGUACCGUAAGAAUAAGCACCGGCUAACUCCGUGCCAGCCGCCGCAGUAACAC
rnacentral:rRNA from 1 species